rnacentral:rRNA from 1 species
AACGGCCGCGGUAUUUUGACCGUGCAAAGGUAGCAUAAUCAUUAGUCUUUUAAUAGAAGGCUGGCAUGAAUGGUUUGACGAGGUGCUGACUGUCUCAUUUAAUUUUAAAUUAUAAUUUAACUUUUUAGUUAAAAGGCUGAAAUUCUUUUGGAAGACGAGAAGACCCUAUAGAGCUUGAUAAUAAUUUGAUUAAUUAGAUUUGGUUUUAUUUCUUUUUUUAUUCUUUUUAUUAUUUUGUUGGGGUGACAAAAAUAUAUAACUAACUUUUUUAUUUAUAUAACAUUGAUAUAUGAAUUAUAGGAUCCAUUUUUAGUGAUUAAUAGAUUAAGUUACCUUAGGGAUAACAGCGUAAUCUUCUUUCAGAGUUCAAAUUUACAAGAAGGCUUGCGACCUCGAUGUUGGAUUAAGAUUAUAACUAGGUGCAGCCGCUUAGUUUAUAGGUCUGUUCGAC